GACGAACGCUGGCGGCGUGCUUAACACAUGCAAGUCGAACGUAAAGGCCCUGCUUGCAGGGUACUCGAGUGGCGAACGGGUGAGUAACACGUGGGUGAUCUGCCCUGCACUUCGGGAUAAGCCUGGGAAACUGGGUUUAAUACCGGAUAGGAGCCAUUUUUAGUGUGAUGGUUGGAAAGUUUUUUCGGCGUAGGAUGAGCUCGCGGCCUAUCAGCUUGUUGGUGGGGUAAUGGCCUACCAAGGCGGCGACGGGUAGCCGGCCUGAGAGGGUGGACGGCCACAUUGGGACUGAGAUACGGCCCAGACUCCUACGGGAGGCAGCAGUGGGGAAUAUUGCACAAUGGGCGCAAGCCUGAUGCAGCGACGCCGCGUGGGGGAUGACGGCCUUCGGGUUGUAAACUCCUUUCGCUAGGGACGAAGCUUUUUGUGACGGUACCUAGAGAAGAAGCACCGGCUAACUACGUG
rnacentral:rRNA from 1 species